CAGCCGCCGCGGAAUACGUAGGGUGCGAGCGUUAAUCGGAAUUACUGGGCGUAAAGCGUGCGCAGGCGGUUGUGUAAGACAGGUGUGAAAUCCCCGGGCUUAACCUGGGAACUGCGCUUGUGACUGCACAGCUAGAGUAUGGCAGAGGGGGGUGGAAUUCCACGUGUAGCAGUGAAAUGCGUAGAGAUGUGGAGGAACACCGAUGGCGAAGGCAGCCCCCUGGGCCAAUACUGACGCUCAUGCACGAAAGCGUGGGGAGCAAGCAGGAUUAGAUACCCGUGUAGUCCCUGUCUCUUAUACA
rnacentral:rRNA from 1 species